UACGAAGGGUGCAAGCGUUACUCGGAAUUACCGGGCGUAAAGCGUGCGUAGGUGGUUCGUUAAGUCUGAUGUGAAAGCCCUGGGCUCAACCUGGGAAUGGCAUUGGAAACUGGCGACCUAGAGUGCGGUAGAGGGUAGUGGAAUUCCCGGUGUAGCGGUGAAAUGCGUAGAUAUCGGAAGGAACAUCAGUGGCGAAGGCGACUUCCUGGCCCGGUACUGACGCUGAGGUGCGAAAGCGUGGGGAGCAAACAGG
rnacentral:rRNA from 1 species